GAAGUUUUAGUAUAAGUUUUAAUAUAUUUCAUUGUCGUUGAAGGGAUUUAAGCUUUG
rnacentral:tRNA from 1 species